UACGUAGGGUGCAAGCGUUGUCCGGAAUUAUUGGGCGUAAAGAGCUCGUAGGCGGUCUGUCGCGUCGGCUGUGAAAACUCGGGGCUCAACCCCGAGCUUGCAGUCGAUACGGGCAGGCUAGAGUUCGGCAGGGGAGACUGGAAUUCCUGGUGUAGCGGUGAAAUGCGCAGAUAUCAGGAGGAACACCGGUGGCGAAGGCGGGUCUCUGGGCCGAUACUGACGCUGAGGAGCGAAAGCCAGGGGAGCAAACGGG
rnacentral:rRNA from 1 species